rnacentral:lncRNA from 1 species
UCUUAGAUCCAUUGUACAUGUCCUUGAUUACUCUGAUGUAGGCUUCCGGCACGCUCUUCGCCUCCAAACACCGCCACAGCACCUCCCUUGGGACCAUAUCAUACGCCUUCUCCAGGUCAAUAUGCACCAUGUAAAGGUCCUUCCUCUUAUCCCUGAAUUGCUCCGCCAGCCGCCUGACGAGGUGGAUAGCCUCAGUAGAGGAGCGGCCCGGCAUGAAACCAAACUGGUUCCCAGAUAUAG